GCUUUUUCUUGGGGCCCAGAGGGUUCUGAAGGUGCUGCAACCCCCUGUGCUCAGAGCGACAGGGGAACUAGUACAUCAUCACCUGAAGUGAUGACUGAGGACAUUAAAGAAGAUGUGGCCAGCAGGAAGAGAGAGGUGAUUGUCUCCCUCUGCUCAGCUCUCAUGAGUGCCCAUCUGGAGUACUGCAUCCAGCACAAGAUAGGCACAGAGCUCAUGGAACAUGUCUGGAGGAGGACCACCUCUCUUGUAAAGAAAGGUUGUGGGAACUGAGAAGGCCAUUCAAUGAUUCUGUGAUGAGGGGAGCGGCUGGCCCAGGAAGCACAGGUGAAAGUAAUUCACCUGCGCUUCCCACGUGACUCAGGGUCUGCCCCUUCCUGAGCUCAUUUAAGGGCUAGCCUCUGCAGGGAGAACAUCUCCUGGAUGAAGGCUGCUUUCUGAGAAGGGAUGUUCUAUAGCUGGAGACCCUCAUUACUUCUCAGGGUCAGGGCUGUAUGAGAGUCACUUUUAAGCCUGGACCUGUGAGGAGUUCCACUGUUGGGCUGUGUCUGAGCAUGUUCUAAGCCUGGACCUGUGAGGAGUUCCACUGUUGGGUGGAUGCUGCUUUGGAUCAGCUCAGCCUGUGAGCAGUCCUGGUAGUCCCAUUGCUACUAGGACUGCUUGUGGAUCCCAGAAUUGUGAAGGUGUUUUUGCUGCAGGUCUGGGACUUCUGUGGUGAGUAGUUCUUUUCCAGGGGUUCCUGUCCUGAAGGUUUUUUUUUUUUUUCUCUUUAGGUUUUUGUGCAGCUCUUAAAUGGGAAGAAGAGAGUUAUGUGCCCUUCUGUGAUGGAUCUCUUUAUUUUUGAAUUAAAAGAAGCUAUGGGAAGCUUGACUGGAAGCCCCAUUUAGAAGGAAGGAAGAGCUGUCUCACUUGCUGCUAAUUUUGCUAUGAGGGUCAAGCAGUUUUGAUUACAGCAGCGCUUGUGGCGUAUCCCAACUAGGAAACUAAUACUGAAGAACAGAGCUUGGUGUCAUCAGUGCCUAACUUGCAGCUGAAACUUUUCUGGAGUCUUGUUAAGAACAGUGCCAGCUGAUGAAUGGAGGCUUAAUGAUUACAAAAUCGUGGUCUGCUCUUCCUAAGGAAAUUUCAGAAACCUACUUGAUGGUGGGAGAAUUCCACAGCUGAAAGAACUAUGGGUUGUUAACCAAUGACUUGGGCUGAACCAUCUCAGUGGGCAGACUCUCGAAACCCCUGUCUCUAAUUACUCCAGAAAAUAAACUCAGUCUGGAUGAAUGCCAAACCGCAUUCCUGAGGGGUGAGAAAGGCCCCACAUCUGCUUCUGGUAUAACUGUUUGUAUCUUCACUCCAGGAAAAUUAGGUUUGAAAUAAUCUCAAAUUGUCUGACACCUGUAUCCUAUUAGAAGUGACACAUGGAAACACCUUCAGCAUACUGAAUUUAGCACCAUGUCAACAGCUUAAAGUUCACGGGAAAAAAUGGCAAAAAUCAUUGCUUCCCACUUUUGGUUGAAACAGACCCGGUGUCUUUUCACAGGAUGAUACUGCAAGCUUGGUCCAUAACUGCAGUGGGCUUUGAGCCCAUAAUUACAACAUAGUCUGUGCCCCAGCCAUGGCUGGAAUUAAAUCCCGUGAGCACCUUGUGGUGACUGGAGUCAUGCAAUAGACCAAGGCUUGUUGAGACACACCUAAGGGCUGAGUGCCAGCCAGCAGCCAGCACGUGGACACACAGAAGCUUCAGGGGCAAAGCAAUGCUAUAAUGUGGUGCAAAGUACAACAAAAAUAGCAGGUAGGCAAAGUAAGCCUUUGGCUGCAGCAAACAAGGAUGAGCCCAAAUGCAGCAGCCACAGAUACUGUAGAUACAAAAAGGAAAAAAGGAAGGAAAGCUGCUUACCUUUAGAAGGCCUCAAGCACACAAGGAUCUCCAACAAGAUCCUCUCGCCUCCGCUGCCAGCCCUUAAAUGAGAUCCAGGAAGGGGUGUAUCCUGGCUCCACCCCUUCCACUCACUCCGGUUCAUUGCAUGCACCUGAGCUCCCCUAGGUUGGCCCUCCCUUCCUACCAGGUGCUCAAUCAGGCUGUGAUUUAGCAAAUCUGUUACAGAGAGCUUCUCUGAAGUUUGGCUGUGAAUCUUGAUUUUCGCAACUCACAGCUUCUUUUUAUGGUGAACAGACAAUAUAUCACUUGUCUCAAGCAGAGGAGUCAGAUUGGCGCUACAAAAGAUAAAUUCUGCCACGGCAUAAAGGUUUGGUCAUGUUCAGACACAGAGAAGAACCAAAUGACUUCAGAAGCUGUGCAUCUAGUUUUGCUAUGAUGGCCUGCGCCUCCCUCAGCGCAGACUGCGACACACUUGUAGUGCUUUACUUGAAGCUCCGUGUGGAGCCUCCCAUUUGCAAAUUCCUCUAUUAGGAUAAAUCUGAUGACCUCUCUGCCGGAUAACUCACUGAUAAGAAAACACUAGUUCUGCUGAGUUAGGAGAAAGUGCUUGCUUUCUUUUCAGAUAGCACUGUUUUGCAGCAGUUCCGCUGAAAAAUCACGAGUACUCCCCAGAGUCAAGAAAACCAGAAAAAUGCUGUUCUUGAUCAUUUUUCCCUCACAUUCCGGCCCUUCGCUGACACCGUCUACAGAAGAAAGCUGUGAAUUUGCCUGAUUUGUUGACUAACAGUGUUGCAUUUCUCAAGCCUGGCAGCUGCUCAGGAAACAACAAUGAUGAGCCAGGGUCUUGAUAGCAGUCACUUCAGUCCUCAGAAGACUCAUGACAAAGCAGAAGAAGAGAAAUACUAUCUUCACCAUGUCUGAACCUUUCUUUGUUUUUGGCUCAAAGUUAGCUUUCUGAGGCAUUUCUUGCAAUAACGCUCUGACUUACCUAGGAGAUGAGAGGGAGGUGUUGGCGUAUGACAAUCAACAUCAUUUUGUGGACAAUUUCACAUUUGAAAGCAUUUCUUUGGAGCUGAUUGCCUUGGGAAUACUGUGCUCAGGAAUGUUUACUGGCAGAAAAUCUGGCCUGUGACCAAAUAACUCCAGCUUGGUAUGGGAGAUUGGAGAAUGAUAGCAUCGUAUCCUGUGAAAAACAGGAUGCAGGUGGGCACCUCCCUGCUCCCUCUUAUCUGAUGGCAAGGCCCAGAAGAUGGGAACAGAGGAGUUUCUGCUGAGAUCCCAAAGCCAGAAGCUGCCAGUCCAAAGAGAGAGGACUUGACCGCUUUGUAUUUGAGCUGUUACUCCAAAGGGAGCUGACUCGACCACUUUGGACUUAUUUAUAAGUUUGUACAGUCGCCGUCGUUAUUGUCAGCCAAACAACAACUCCCAUUGCUACUGAAGAUCAACGUCUGAACUAUGAGCAAUGCUGGAAUAUGUGAUGGUGACUAUCUCCCUCUUGCUUCGUACAAGAACUCCCUGCUUUUAUUUCCUAUCGCUUUUCUAUCGUCCGCCUUCCAUUCCCCAUCCCCUUAAGCAACUUGGAUUUGUAAUAAACUGGUCGGGCUAA